UCUGCAAGGCAAAUAACUAUUGAGAAACCGAUUGGAACUAUAAUAAUAUUAAGGAAACGUCAGCAGAUCGCGAUUCUCGGGAGCGCACGAGCGAGUCGAACGGAGACGACGAGCGUGGCUGCCACCAGACCGCCACUCUGGCCCGAGGACAGGGCCGUCUUGUUACUGGAGUUAAUCUUAAGGCGGAUGAAGGUAUACUACUUUUACAGACUUUCUUUCGUAUCUGAUUAAAUUAUUAUCCUAUGUAUGUACACAGAUUCGUGAAGCGAUUCAAGAAAGAAAUUGAAAAAGGAAUUUAUCCUCUUGUACUGUCGAGGCUAUCUGAUUGUGGAACUCGUGACUAAGGAUACUGAAUGUAUACUGAUACAGGAUUGACUGAGGCACAAUUACAAUUUGAAUGGAUGAACCUGGAGGAAGGGUAAUAAGAUGGUUUGUUAAGUGGAGGAUAGGUUGAUGCAUGUGCCUGAUCUAGUGACUGUCUAGGGAUCCUAAGAAACUUUCUUACGGCCCUGGACAACCAUCCGCUUCUUCCUUGCUCGACCGGCUAUAGUCUAUACCACGAUGUGUCUAUAGACUUGCAAGCUACCUGAUCUGCGUAUUUCCACACAUUAAGGUCGGAUGUAAAUAAAAAGUCAAACAGCAGAAUAAGAGUUCUCUUGUUUGGUAAAAAAAACCUGGUGAAAAAAAUUGGGACACCCAUAAUCCACGGUGACUGAACCUAUGUCUAUAACAGUUACUAUCGACUUCAAUUCUAAAAUCUACGUAUCUAUCAAAGGCUGACGUAGACUAUUGUUAUCGCAUUGAAAUCCAAGGUUAAUUCCAACCAGACGGAAAGAAAAGAAAUUGCAACGUAACAUCUACCAAAGUUCUCGGCACUGAAGAAUCCCACGAUCCAAAUUUACGUGCGACUAAAAAAUGGCCACGACGUGAUAGAGCGACAACAAUUAAAAGUGAUCUAGAGGUGCAUCAACGAUCUCGACAAGGAGUCGCCUUAUGCCUGAAAAAAAAGGCGUGUUUACAUUACGUAUUUCAAGCUCGUUGCGACGUGGAAUUACCACGUGUGGACUGUAGCCAUCGAAUUGCCUGCAUUCCCUGACAUAACGGGUCAAGCGGCACGUAGCGCGUGUGGCUCCAAAAUUUUCGAAAACGGUUCCAGUAUAGUAAACGCCCUGAAAGAAUUACUCUACGUCGUUCCGUAAAUUCCAUUAGAUCUGGGUCACUGGGUGUCCGAACAAAAUAUAUAUAUAUAUAUACCCAGCCAUUAUUACAUCAUCAUCCAGGACUACAACCUAACUCAAGAGGAAGCUCUUCAAUUCGGUCACGCAUGCCUUUGACUUCCGAUGGGCAAAUCAUUUCCCGAGUGUCAACCGCCUCACGACGUUCUCUUCGUCCUCGUCUCUCGACUCAACUAUGCAGCUGCUGUUGCUGAUAAUACCACGCAUUGAAAUCACCGCUCCCUGUGACACGAAUGCCGCGCGAGGCUCUCGAGUUUCCACGCAUUCCAAGCUGCUUCUCUUUACAUAAAAAUGAUUUACCUAACAGCGCCUAUUAACUCCCAUGCGUAUAGUAAAACGCGGACAAUGUCCCUGUUUUCUGUUAAACGAUACAAGAAGAUGGCGGACGGAUACGUGAACGAGCGGUUAUACGGUGACCUUGACUCUCGUAACCCUUUUGCUUCCUCUCCUUUUUUCCCUACCUCUUCUCUUUUCACGUGACGCGAUUAGAGACCGACUACGGUUGUACUACGCGUUAUGCGGUCGAUUAUGUAGUCGAGCGAUAUUAAUCGCUGCAACGCAGUGCAGCGUGGAGCCACCGGAUACGUAAUAAUUCUCGAGUCGAAGAAUUACAUCUCUGGUAUUUGCACGGUGGAUGCUGCAAAUUCAUUUUCUGGAAUUACUAUAUUAAGAUCUUUAUAAUGGUAGAUGCCCACUGUAGCGUGUAGACGUUUUAUUUCCGUUUCAAGAAACAUUACUGGAGUUCAUCCAAAAUCCGUUUUCAAAAAAUUCACUCUCUGCCUCUGGAUUGAAUUUCAUUGCUGAUACCGUUACUAAUUGUUAUUAUAUCAUUGACAAAUACGUAAUAGGGAACUUGGUGUGUUUUCCCUUUCUAUUAUUAUGUAAAGUUAAUGUCGUUCUUUUGCAAAUGGUAUCUGUACAUCUUUCAUCGCGAUAAGACCUAACCCAAGUUACUCGUUGCGUGCAUGUCCCAAAUUUCGAUUACAAUAAAACAGCCUAGCUAGGGAAUAUAGAUAUGUGUAUUGCAUUGAUGUAUUAGGUAUAUAACGUGUUUAGUAUUUAAAGAUAAUUAUAUCUCUGAUAUACAAGUGAGAGCACGUUGCACGAAUCUGCUAAUUAAUUAAAAUAUUUUAUCUUGGA